rnacentral:rRNA from 1 species
GACGAACGCUGGCGGCGUGCCUAAUACAUGCAAGUCGAGCGGGGAUUAUGCUUGAUCGCUUCGGUGAGACGGCAUAUAUCCUAGCGGCGGACGGGUGAGUAACGCGUGGGUAAUCUACCUCGUAGUUCGGGAUAACAGGCCGAAAGGCUUGCUAAUACCGGAUGAGUUCAUGCUUAUGCAUAUAGGCAUGAAGAAAGGGCUAGCCCGCUAUGAGAUGAGCCCGCGUCCCAUUAGCUUGUUGGUGGGGUAAUGGCCUACCAAGGCAACGAUGGGUAGCCGGCCUGAGAGGGUGUACGGCCACACUGGGACUGAGACACGGCCCAGACUCCUACGGGGGGCAGCAGUAGGGAAUUUUCGGCAAUGGGCGAAAGCCUGACCGAGCGACGCCGCGUGAGGGACGAAGGGCCUUCGGGUUGUAAACCGUCUGUCUGGGGGAGUGAGAACGGACGGUACCCCGGAGGAACGCCCGGCUAACUACGUG